GUCCAUGCGAAGUCGUAAGACGAUGUAUAUGGACUGACUCCUGCCCGGUGCUGGAAGGUUAAGGGGACCCGUUAGCUUCGGCGAAGCGGAGAACUUAAGCCCCAGUAAACGGCGGUGGUAACUAUAACCAUCCUAAGGUAGCGAAAUUCCUUGUCGGGUAAGUUCCGACCUGCACGAAUGGAGUAACGACUUCCCCGCUGUCUCAACCAUGAACUCGGCGAAAUUGCAUUACG
rnacentral:rRNA from 1 species